rnacentral:rRNA from 1 species
GACGAACGCUGGCGGCGUGCCUAACACAUGCAAGUCGAACGAGAUCCAUGGGAGCUUGCUCCCGGAAGAUCUAGUGGCGAACGGGUGAGUAACACGUGAGAAACCUGCCCUGGAGUGGGGAAUAACUCGGGGAAACUCGAGCUAAUACCGCAUACCCUCGGAUGGUCGCAUGGCCGACCGAGGGAAAGAUUUAUCGCUCUAGGAGGGUCUCGCGGCCUAUCAGCUAGUUGGUGGGGUAACGGCCUACCAAGGCAGCGACGGGUAGCUGGUUUGAGAGAACGAUCAGCCACACUGGGACUGAGACACGGCCCAGACUCCUACGGGAGGCAGCAGUGGGGAAUCUUGCGCAAUGGGCGAAAGCCUGACGCAGCAACGCCGCGUGCGGGAUGACGGCCUUCGUGGUUGUAACCGCUUUCAGCAGGGACGAAAUGACGGUACCUGCAGAAGAAG